AUGACACCGUUAGCCAGCAGUGUGUCUCCUGAAAAGAGAGCUGAUUAGAGAGGCAGUUUUGAAUUUAGGAGUGGCAAGAUGGCAGCGGCAAACCCUGGCGGUUCUCCGGGUUCGUGGCAACCACGGAUGGGGAAAAUGUGGAGGUUGCACGGCUGAUGUUUACUGUUCAUGGCACAGGAAGAGGCAGUUUUAUUUCAGGAAUGAGUGUGCACAAUCAAAGAAUAGAGCGACUGUGGAGAGACCUCUGGGUGGCCAUUACAUGCUUUACUACGAUGUUCUUCACAACCUUGAGGAAGAAGACCUUCUUGACAUUUCAAAUGCUGCACACCUCUUUUGCUGCCAUUACGUCUUUCUUCCUCGACUGGAGGAUGAUUUUAAUACAUUUUGCAGUGGAUGGGACAACCAUCCACUGCGAACAGAAAACAACAUGAGUCCCAACCAGCUGUGGGAGUUGGGUCACAGAUAUCACCCUGUUCCUGUUCCAGAAAACACACAGCUUAUCACACAUUUGAUUUCCAUGUGUGACGACUGCAAGUGUCCAGAGUGAGGACAGACU